rnacentral:rRNA from 1 species
UAGGGAAUCUUCGGCAAUGGACGAAAGUCUGACCGAGCAACGCCGCGUGAGUGAAGAAGGUUUUCGGAUCGUAAAACUCUGUUGUUAGAGAAGAACAAGGACGUUAGUAACUGAACGUCCCCUGACGGUAUCUAACCAGAAAGCCACGGCUAACUACGUGCCAGCAGCCGCGGUAAUACGUAGGUGGCAAGCGUUGUCCGGAUUUAUUGGGCGUAAAGCGAGCGCAGGCGGUUUCUUAAGUCUGAUGUGAAAGCCCCCGGCUCAACCGGGGAGGGUCAUUGGAAACUGGGAGACUUGAGUGCAGAAAGGGAGAGUGGAAUUCCAUGUGUAGCGGUGAAAUGCGUAGAUAUAUGGAGGAACACCAGUGGCGAAGGCGGCUCUCUGGUCUGUAACUGACGCUGAGGCUCGAAAGCGUGGGGAGCAAACAGG